rnacentral:rRNA from 1 species
UACGUAGGGUCCGAGCGUUGUCCGGAAUUAUUGGGCGUAAAGGGCUCGUAGGCGGUUUGUCGCGUCGGGAGUGAAAACCAGAGGCUUAACUUCUGGCUUGCUUUCGAUACGGGCAGACUUGAGGUAUGCAGGGGAGAACGGAAUUCCUGGUGUAGCGGUGGAAUGCGCAGAUAUCAGGAGGAACACCGGUGGCGAAGGCGGUUCUCUGGGCAUUACCUGACGCUGAGGAGCGAAAGUGUGGGGAGCGAACAGG